GACGAACGCUGGCGGCGUGCUUAACACAUGCAAGUCGAACGGAAAGGCCCUGCUUUUGUGGGGUGCUCGAGUGGCGAACGGGUGAGUAACACGUGAGUAACCUGCCCUUGACUUUGGGAUAACUUCAGGAAACUGGGGCUAAUACCGGAUAGGAGCUCCUGCUGCAUGGUGGGGGUUGGAAAGUUUCGGCGGUUGGGGAUGGACUCGCGGCUUAUCAGCUUGUUGGUGGGGUAGUGGCGUACCAAGGCUUUGACGGGUAGCCGGCCUGAGAGGGUGAACGGCCACAUUGGGACUGAGAGACGGCCCAGACGCCUACGGGAGGCAGCAGUGGGGAAUAUUGCACAAUGGGCGGAAGCCUGAGGCAGCAGCGCCGCGUGCGGGAUGACGGCCUUCGGGUUGUAAACCGCUUUCGCCUGUGACGAAGCGUGAGUGACGGUAAUGGGUAAAGAAGCACCGGCUAACUACGUG
rnacentral:rRNA from 1 species